AGUACUUCCAUUUUCAGAGCCCAUAAGUAAUUGGACAAACUAAAUAGAAGGAUUUAUUUAUUUUUUUUUUUCCCUUCUUUUUAAAAUGUGCAUCAAUUUCAGACAGUAUUCUUUUAACAAGUCGGGGAUGGAAACAUGAACAUUUCCAAGUAACUGAAUAGGCCUUGUACUUUAUUUACAUAAAUCAUUAGGAAAUACAAACAAAAACUGAGUUUAGGAGACUAGUGAGAAGCCACCAAGAUCAUUCUUAAGGAGUUACAGAUUUUUGUGGCUGUGACUAGAGUGAGUGUGCAUCAUGCAAGUUUUGUCUGUUGCAACACCAGUUCAUGGGAGAGCAGCACAAAGAAUAAAAAACAAAAAAAAAACAACAUUAAACGUCUAGUUUGCCAGAAGGCACAUGGGAGGCCUGAUUGAUUUUCUUGUGUCAAAAUCCUUCUCUACCACUCCACCAUGAAACUGUAACUGCUGGUGCAACAGACAAGUUCUGGGCCACCCCAGUUCAAGACAUUUGUCCACCACAAAUGGAUCAUUAUCUAGAUCUAGAGUCUAGAUUCUAGACCAAGGUUCACCUCUGGAACACAGCAUCCAGGACUGAUGGCUGAUAUUUGAUCACGUGCCGUUCUCAUGUCUGAUCUAUGAUCUUGAUCCUUGUUCCAAAAAACUCAUCUCUGAGGCUGUCCUUUGAUCCUGUGAUUAUGUCCUUGGUCUUCAACCCCAAUUGCUGAACUUGGACCCUGAAUGCAGACUAGGAAACCUGUUCACUCAUUUCUGAUCCUGACCUUUGAACCUGAUGGGUGGACUUAGAUCAGUGAAGCAGGAUCAAAGAUCAGCAUUAAACUUCAAAGUCCGGAUCAAGGAUGAGUGGCCAAGAUCAAAGGUCAGCAAUCAAGAUUUAAGUUCAGCAAUCAGGAAUGAAGGUCAGGACCAAUAAACAUUAGGGUUAAAAGUCAGGACCAAGAUCUGCACCAAAACUGACUAAGCUUUUCUGUGGCUAAUGUCCCACCUGUCCACCAAGUUUGAUUAAUUAUUUAUCAACAUUCAUUUUUGUAUAAUCUUGCUAACAAUCAAACCAACCAACAAACAUGCAUGUGACCACACAGCCUUCUUGACAGGUUACAAUUUAACAUGUAGAGCCAGGUCAGUAAAUAUUUUGCGACUGAUAGUAAUUUUAAUCCAUCUACUACAGCAUACUGGAGUUGUCUGGAAAUGAUGAAUAUGAUCCUGUAAUGUCACAACUAUAAAUGAGUUAAAGUGACAACAAUAAAAAGCUGUUCUUCAGACUGAGUUAUUCUGCCUCAAUCUCUUGGGCUGGGUAGUUGGUUGAUUGAAAUGGUUAAUGGCUUACCAACAUCAUGAUGUGAAGCUACCAACACAAUACAAUGCCCCCCACCCCCACCCCACUCCGCCAGACGCGCACUAAUUCCAUUGUACUUGGGUGGACUGACGGACUGAUAUGGGCAGGUGGGGGGUACUCCAUGUCAUCAGUGCACAAUUUGGCAUCAGAUUAUCAUGCUGCACACAGAAAAUGUAGUGUUUUUGUGGCACACAGGGAAAUACAAUAGUUCCCUUGCCUGGAGUUAAGUGGAGAUGCAGUGGGAGUUAUGACUCCAGAAAAAAUAUUCUGACUUGCUGAAAGUACAGUAUGUUCAAGAGUGCAACAGGCUGUAUAAUGACGUAGUGAUGCAUCCGUUUUAAGUUGUUACUGAGAUAAGGACAGAGGUGAGCAAAUCCUUCUGUGCUGCCUUCCCACAGAAUCAGAACCAAAAAAAUUAUUGUCCAUCAUUUAUUUAAUGACAUUUAUUAAGAUGAUGACUAAGAUGAGGAGUAUCACAUGUAUUUUGAGGGAGUGUCAACUUUGACAUUAUGGCCAUGUGGCACAUUUCCUGUGCAUGAUCCAGCACACGGGUGCCUGAGUGUUGUGGACUGCAUUGUCUGGAGAAGGCCAAGGGGACACCCAUGCUUCACCUGGCUGCGACAGAUAGAUGGUUACUUUAGUAAGGUGGGGAUGAAUUGGUUGUCUGCAAUCCAGGACCCAAGGUGGUUCAGUGGCGCUGUGGAUGCAGCGAAGCAUGGCACCAGUGCAUGCUCCCAGACUUGACAUUUAUUUCUAGCAAUUAAAUAAUUUUUCUACCCUCCCUAAGCCGAUACCUUCAAAAAUUCCCUCUGCUCUUUAAAAAA